rnacentral:rRNA from 1 species
AUACGGAGGGUGCAAGCGUUACUCGGAAUCACUGGGCGUAAAGCGCGCGCAGGCGGAUUGGCAAGUUGGAUGUGAAAGCCUGCGGCUCAACCGCAGAACUGCAUCCAAAACUGUCAGUCUAGAGUCUGGGAGAGGUAGCUGGAAUUAGUGGUGUAGGGGUAAAAUCCGUAGAGAUCACUAGGAAUACCGAAAGCGAAGGCGAGCUACUGGAACAGUACUGACGCUGAGGCGCGAAAGCGUGGGGAGCAAACAGGAUUAGAUACCCUAGUAGUCC